UCCAUUGAUACCUUCAGAAAGCGCCGCAUCCCAAUGCUGUGGGUUACACUUGGGGUGAAAAUCAGCGGCAUAACAAGAGAGGUGCAUCACUAUAAGUGUGGAUAAAUUAAUUACAUAAAUGCUGCAAUGGUGCAUUUGCUUUUAGAUUCCUGUUGUUAACAUGGUACCAAAAAGGUAUGCGUGCAUGCUUGAAAAAUCUUAACAUUUGUGCAUCUAGCUAUUCAACCAUCCUUGAGUGAUAUAUAUUUCUCUGUACAUUGAAAUACAAUUGAACAACAAGGAGCUUAUAUCAGUGGUGUGUAUACGCUCCAAAAUUGCGGUAUCUACCUUCCCCAAAUAACAUAAAAAAAUAAGGUUGGGGGUUUACAGGGUUAUUAAUUGGAUCCAUGUUUCAGCGACUUUGUAGAAGUGCGUUCAAUUAGCUUUCUGCAUAUUCACAGUUUAGGUUGUUCCGAAAUUCUCUUAUCAAUGCACAUGUUUCCUUUUUUUUAUUUAGCAUGUGAAGUUCCUUACUCAACGCUAAUUUUUGGCCAAAUCUGUUGAUACAGGUUCACCAUUGAUAACAGAGAAAAUUAUUCAAGAAAUCAUUGAUAUGAGAGGCUCCAUUGAUACCUUUAGAAAGCCGCAUCCCAAUGUUGUGGGUUACACGUCGGGUGAAAAUCAGCGGCAUAACAAGAGGGGUGCAUCACUAUAAGUGUGGAUAAAUUAAUUACAUAAAUGCUGCAAUGGUACAUUUGAUGGAGGAUUCCUGUUGUUAACAUGGUACCAAAAAGGAAGGAAUGGGUCCGGAGCUCGACACCCCAUCCAACGAGCUCAAGUCUUAAGAAACUUCAGUGCAUACUUAACAUGGAGCAGCCUAUGGACAAUGAUUGCUUCAACACCGAUGUACGUAUACGGGCAUGUGACGAGGGAGUAUUGUUCACAGACCCUCCUAUACACUACAUGGAUCUAAGAUUUUGUUCCAUGAUACUAGAGUCAACACGAGGUCAGAAGUUUUGCGAGAAGGAAACUCUCCAGACGUUGGCAACAUUAUUUGAUAGCUGGCCUGGGAUAGACAAAGACAUCUCAUCGUGCAACAUGAUUUAUCUUUCCUAUGCAUCCAUCGGUCGAUCAUCUUGUACGUCAUCGAUAAAGAGGCAUGUCGUCUAUAUAUUAUGGACCUUAUUCAAACAUCACAAUCAUGAGAGGAUAAAAAUUUGAGUCAUGCACUAAAAUUAAAAAGUUUUGCAAGGGAUUUCAAAGAAGCACUCGAAAUAAAGCUGCCUGGUUGGUAUUCCGAGAUAUCUAAAUGGCAACGUUUAUUUCUGUUUGGUAUUCCGACGAGUAUAGACGGGAAUGUGUCUGGCUAUUUUGUUUUUCAUUUUAUGCUCUGGUGGAACGGUAAAGAAUUGGUCAAGCCGGUUUGCACGGGUGGGUAUGAGUUGAGGAAGCAGUUUUUAUUAUACUUGCUAAAACAUCGUGCGAAUGAAGCUAAAUGCAACUUUCUUGAUAUUGUGAAAGAAUUUCUUAAGUGCAUCAUAGUUUUGUAAUAGAUGUGAAGGUCAAACAUCGCUCAAUUUGUUACAUAGACAUGUCGUUAAUCUUUCUUUUUGUUAUCAAUUUACAUUGCAAAAAUAGACUUCAAUUAUUCAAUAAUUGUGUUUGUGUUAUAUUGUUUGUACGUGUGAAAUUUAACAUGUGAUUCUUCCAAACUAUUUCAAGAGCCCGUGGCAACGCACGGGCACUCUACCAGUACUUUU